GGAUAUCUCAGGUUUUGCCUUUUUAUUAAAUGUAGGAUAUAAUUGCCUUUCUGGGUUUCUGCUUUGUGAUUUCUAUCUGAAGGGCUUUCAAAGGAGUGUUUGUUGAUAUUUGACAUGAUUUGAUGGUUAUAUUUUUACUUUUCCGUCCCGCUUUGCUUAAAGGAUACUUUAUCUUCUCUUGAUUUCACUAUACCAGAAUUUUUUUUAUCUUACCUAGAAAGGAAUUUGUUUGAAAAACAAGUUUUAUGUGAAUAAUUCAACAAGGAAAAAGUGAUGGUUGUGGCAGUUUAAGACUGCAAUCAAAAUGAAAUUUUCGGUUUCCUUUUCCAUUUUCCUGCUUUCAUUUAUUACUCUUAUCAACACAUGGUUGUUUAGCAACUCUUAUCAGUGUUGUUAAUGGUUUAAAUGCUUUCUUGAUUGAAUAUUCAGUGGUUAAGUAUUGUUGUUGUCAUUGUUAUUGACAAUUGCUUAUUAGUUACGGGGAUUACUGUUUGUUUGUUUCUGUUUAUGAGUCUUAUCUG
rnacentral:misc_RNA from 1 species